rnacentral:rRNA from 1 species
UACAGAGGGGGCAAGCGUUGUUCGGAAUUACUGGGCGUAAAGGGCGCGUAGGCGGCCUUCUAAGUCAGACGUGAAAUCCCUCGGCUCAACCGGGGAACUGCGUCUGAGACUGGAAGGCUUGAGUGCAGGAGAGGGAUGCGGAAUUCCAGGUGUAGCGGUGAAAUGCGUAGAUAUCCGGAGGAACACCAGUGGCGAAAGCGGCUCUCUGGGGGCAACCUGACGCUGAGGCGCGAAAGCGUGGGGAGCGAACCGG